GACGAACGCUGGCGGCGUGCUUAACACAUGCAAGUCGAACGGAAAGGCCUCUUUCUGUGUGUACUCGAGUUUCGAACGGGUGUGUAACACGUGAGUAACCUGCCCUUGUCUUUUUGAUAACUUCAUGUAACUGUUGCUAUUACCUGUUAGGAUCUCCUGCUGCAUGUUGGGUUUUGUAAAGUUUCGGCGUUUUGGGAUGGACUCGCGGCUUAUCUGCUUGUUGGUGGGGUAGUGGCUUACCAAGGCUUUGACGGGUAGCCGGACUGAGAGUGUGACCGGCCAAAUUGGGACUGAGAUACGGCACAGACUGCUAAGGGAGGCAGAAGUGGGGAAUAUUGCACAAUGGGUGGAAGCCUGAUGCAGAAAAGCCGUGUGCGGGAAGACGGCCUUCGGGUUGUAAACCGAUUUCGCUAAUGAAGAAGCUUUGUGUGACGGUAGUGGGUAAAGAAGCACCGGCUAACUACGUG
rnacentral:rRNA from 1 species